GCAUGCCAUUGAAUUUUAGAUUCGAAGACAUCUUUUCACAUGACUUUUUUUAGAGAGUGGUUUCAUACAUACAAACUAUGGAAAGGUGGAGUUAUCUAUUUGGGUAAUAAUACAACAUGUCCCUGAUUGGAGUGGGAGAUGUUUGGAUCAAAAUGUUUGAUGGUAUAGUUCUGAUGGUUUCUAAUGUAUGGCAUAUUUUUGUACUUCGCGAGAGUCUACUAUCAUUUGAAAUAUUUUGUAAGUAAGGCUUGAAGUUUACCGAAGAGAAAGAUCAACUGAAGGUGUGCAAAGGGUGUUUGGUGGUG
rnacentral:lncRNA from 1 species